AGAGUUUGAUCCUGGCUCAGGACGAACGCUGGCGGCGUGCCUAAUACAUGCAAGUAGAACGCUGACUACUUUAGCUUGCUAGAGUAGAAGGAGUUGCGAACGGGUGAGUAACGCGUAGGUAACCUGCCUACUAGCGGGGGAUAACUAUUGGAAACGAUAGCUAAUACCGCAUAACAGUGUUUAACACAUGUUAGAUGCUUGAAAGAUGCAAUUGCAUCACUAGUAGAUGGACCUGCGUUGUAUUAGCUAGUUGGUGGGGUAACGGCCCACCAAGGCGACGAUACAUAGCCGACCUGAGAGGGUGAUCGGCCACACUGGGACUGAGACACGGCCCAGACUCCUACGGGAGGCAGCAGUAGGGAAUCUUCGGCAAUGGGGGCAACCCUGACCGAGCAACGCCGCGUGAGUGAAGAAGGUUUUCGGAUCGUAAAGCUCUGUUGUAAGAGAAGAACGUGUGUGAGAGUGGAAAGUUCACACAGUGACGGUAACUUACCAGAAAGGGACGGCUAACUACGUGCCAGCAGCCGCGGUAAUACGUAGGUCCCGAGCGUUGUCCGGAUUUAUUGGGCGUAAAGCGAGCGCAGGCGGUUUAAUAAGUCUGAAGUUAAAGGCAGUGGCUUAACCAUUGUUCGCUUUGGAAACUGUUAAACUUGAGUGCAGAAGGGGAGAGUGGAAUUCCAUGUGUAGCGGUGAAAUGCGUAGAUAUAUGGAGGAACACCGGUGGCGAAAGCGGCUCUCUGGUCUGUAACUGACGCUGAGGCUCGAAAGCGUGGGGAGCAAACAGGAUUAGAUACCCUGGUAGUCCACGCCGUAAACGAUGAGUGCUAGGUGUUAGGCCCUUUCCGGGGCUUAGUGCCGCAGCUAACGCAUUAAGCACUCCGCCUGGGGAGUACGACCGCAAGGUUGAAACUCAAAGGAAUUGACGGGGGCCCGCACAAGCGGUGGAG
rnacentral:rRNA from 1 species